UCUCUUUCAUUCUUUCUUUUGUCAUACAUUACUCUACGAGGAAAUUAGAUUUUCCAUUGCCAUUAGUUUCCUACAAUCACAUAGUUGGAACAUUAAUGAUCAUUUUGAUAUGAACUUGAAUUUAGAUUAUCAUGAUUGAACAACUACAAAUAUGUGAUUGCAUCAAUUUCUUAACUAAAGUCAAUCAAGGUCCCUCUACCAAACCAUCCACUCCUUACUUUCUUCUUCAGUUAUGUGUAUGUUGAAUGAAAAUAGGGGAAUAAUGUGUCUAUGUUUUAUUGAGGAAACAAUGAUUUUGGUCUAUGGUUGUGUGAUAUAUUAUCAUUAUAGUUCUUGAAUGUAUUGAAAUUGCAAAUACAU
rnacentral:lncRNA from 1 species